UUUUUUAUAAUUUUACAUUUAUUUUUUUUAUUUAUUUUUUCUUUUGCUAUAUAUAUUUUUUUCACCAUUUAUUUCACAUUCUAAUUUUAUUUUUUAUAAUUUCCCUCCCCCCUUUUUUCACCCUUGUUUUUUUAUUUAUUUUACGGAAAUCAAAACUUUAUUGAGCAAGAAAUUAUGGUAGAAAACACGUCAAAGUACGUCAAUGAGAGUGAGACUCGCAGGUCUCGGAGCCAAAUAUCAGUACUCUGGCCAUGCAAGGCCCAACAUUUAUUGUACAAAUGUAUUGUACAGAUGCAUUAGUGUGAUUAAGUAUUCAUAAAUGGGUAUGAGCAGUUUGGGUGGGGAGGGUGGAAGGAAGAGGUGUAUCCAUAACGACACAGGGAACAUGGAUACCCCCAGAGGUUCUAGCCGCUUUCAGAAAGCAUGCCAUGAGCUGUUAUAUAUCCCUAUAUAUCCCUAUAUUUAAAAAUAUGAAAUCAUAUUCUCAUCAAUAUGAAAUCAUAUCUGCAAAAGAGGCUAUGUCACAUUAGGAGACAAAAAAUUGAUAUAAGUAUCAUGUAUAAAACAACAUAAUACAGAUUAAAUGGAAAUAGCAUGUUGAUGAGUGAACUAAGAACUCAAUUUGUUAUUUAAACUAAUAUAAAUGUGAAUUGUCAAUCACCAUGUUUCUUCUUUAAUGUCAAACUGGAGCCAAUGAUUAACUAAGCUGAAAACUAUGGACGCUAUUGUAUUACCCCGGGUGAUUACCAGAGGGCGAUCAAAUUAAAUACCAAGUAGAUCGCAAUGGAACUCAUGGCCAUAUUGGAUGGUCUAAGUGGUGGAACGCGUGGAAGUGCCUCAUCACGAGUAGGUGUCAGUUUUACUGCCAAUUAAAGUCAAACAGCUGAGAAAAGGAGAACACACAGAAGGAGAGGUUUGCUAAUCUGUCAAGUAUCCAAUCAUAGGACAACAUGGGAAGAACACCCACCACACUACCAAUGGACUUCCAGGACUGACCAUAUUUAAAGGUACGCCGGGGAGGGAGGGAUUAGGCUUGAUUGUGUAUAUUUGAUUUUACUGCAUUUGUUACAAUACUGGUCCCUGAGAAAGUUCGAUAUAGAGAACGAAAUGCAUAGGACCAAUUUGUUAACUACUUUUUAAAAUAAUUUUACACCAAUAAAUAUUUUAUACUUCCAUACCAUUUGGAAUUUGUGAUCUUCCUGGUACCCAGAUUUGACUUAACGCUGGCAGUGGGAGCAUAACCAUAGGGGAGGCACCCUGAGGGUUUGCUUAAAUCAACAAAUCUGUGAGUGAAACCAAUAAGUGUCUUGUGAUUGAGAGGCUAUAACACUAUGUUUUGUUUUAUUUAUUUGUUUCAGUGAUACCGGCUUGAUCCCCAUUUGUUUGUAUUUUUUACUAUGUGGUAUUAAGAUCAGAGUUCUCAGUGUCUAUGUGGGUUUCAGUCGGUCAUACUCCAUGUAUGGUUAAUAGUCUGCUGUGGAGUGUGAGUAGUGAUUCAUUCUUCUUGUCACUGCCUCAUAGUGUUAUCCUCCCCUGCUAAACGUAUGAAGAAUAGGAAGGAGGACAGAACAUAUGCUGGAUAGAUCAAGUAAUAGAAGCAUGGUUGGGUAGGUAAGAAGUGGACUGUGCGGCUCACCAGGCUACUCUCAAGAGUGGCUUUGAUGUUUCGAUAGCUGUUGAGAUUUCCUCUUCUGUUAUUGGUAGAUCAGGUGCUUCUGCGUCUUUAAGUUGAAGAGUUGAAGUGAUGUAGUCUGAAAGGAACCGUGUUGUCUGUUGCUCCCAAUCACUCUCAGGACUGUUUCCUCUGGGUUGUGCGAUAUUAUAUAGAGAGGAGUAGUAGGUUUGAGAAGUACAAAGAAAAGUAUCUCUUUAUCAUAACCAUUUAAAUGCCAAUACUGCCAUUUGGGCUAUUUCACAUAUUUAUUUGAUUAUAUAUGUUUUUCACGUAUCCAAUUAAGUUGUAAAUUGAACCCUUUAUCACACACAGGAGGCUCCUGCAGGGUCUAACAAGCUAUUAAUAGAGCAAGAGAUAAGAAAUUCUCAGUUAUUCAGAAUUUGCAAUAAAGGAAGUGUCAACAUUAGAUGUCUCUUUAUAGGAAGUGUUUAGGAAGGAUGUGGGCCUAGGGCAGCAUAAACAAAGUGAUUUAACUUCUAAAUGGCAAAGAAUUAAGCAGUGAGAUUAUAGGGGCAUGACCUAUACACCAAAACUGCUUCCUUAAGAUAAAUUUCAACUGUGAAGAAUCUAAUAGCUUAAAUAUAACAGACCUAUUACAAUGGAAAAUAUCCAAUUCACAAAAAUGUUUGGAUUUGAAGAGACAAGUAUGAAAAUAAUCCCUUUAAUGAUUUUAUGAUACAUUUAAAAACAGUAUACCUAUCUUAUACACAGAUAUGUGCUUGUAAACAAUCCUCUAAACUAGAGGUUCCUAAUUAAUUUUUUCUGUGGAGCCCUUCGACAUCGUAUCAAAGUAUCAACAUCGUGGAAACCUCGCCCUCCGGUAAAAAAUAAAAUGUACGCCGCUCUUUGUAUGUGCCGGUGUAUGUCUGUGUGUCAAGGUGUGUGUAUAUGUGUUUGCAUUUUCCAGUGUGUGUGUGUGUAUCUGUGACACACAGAUACACACAUAGUGGCACACAGAUACACACACCUUGACACACACUCAACAUAUGAGGAAAGGGAUUUAGGGGUGAUUAUUUCUGAUGACUUAAAGGUAGGCAGACAAUGUAAUAGAGCAGCAGGAAAUGCUAGCAGAAUGCUUGGUUGUAUAGGGAGAGGUAUUAGCAGUAGAAAGAGGGAAGUGCUCAUGCCAUUGUACAGAACACUGGUGAGACCUCACUUGGAGUAUUGUACACAGUACUGGAGACCGUAUCUUCAGAAGGCUAUUGAUACCUUAGAGAGGGUUCAGAGAAGGGCUACUAAACUGGUUCAUGGAUUGUGGGAUAAAACUUACCAGGAAAGGUUAAAGGAUCUUGGAGGAAAGACGAGACAGGGGGGAUAUGAUAGAAACAUUUAAAUAUAUAAAGGGAAUCAACACAGUAAAGGAGGAGACUAUAUUUAAAAGAAGAAAAACUACCACAACAAGAGGAGUUUUUCUUCUUUUAAAUAUACUAUGGUCUUACAUUAGAGGGACAAAGGUUUAAAAAUAAUAUCAGGAAGUAUUACUUUACUGAGAGGCUAGUGGAUGCAUGGAAUAGCCUUCCAGCUGAAGUGGUAGAGGUUAACACAGUAAAGGAGUUUAAGCAUGCGUGGGAUAGGCAUAAGGCUAUCCUAACUAUAAGAUAAGGCUAGGGACUAAUGAAAGUAUUUAGAAAAUUGGGCAGUCUAGAUGGGCCGAAUGGUUCUUAUCUGCUGUCACAUUCUAUGUUUCUAUGUUUGACACACACUGUGUGUGUGUGUGUGUGUGUGUGUGUGUAUGUAUCUGACACACAGAUACACAAACACACACUGGCGCAUAGUGGCACACAGAUACACACUGACACAUACCUUGACACACAGAUACACAUACACACACUCAGAUGCACACAGUGAAACAUACACACAUCUUGACUUACAAAUACACACACUCAGAUACACACAGUGACAUAUACACACACUUGCACCCACCGAUACACACACUGGCACAUACACACUCAGAUACACACAUUGACACAUAAACACAGUGUCAUAUGCACACACACUGACACACACUCAGAUACACACACUGACAUACACACAGGCACCUAAAAAACACACUGAUAUACACUGGCACACACACACACACUCAGAUACACACAGUGACACAUACACAAACCUUGACACACGGAUACACACACUGACACACAUACACUCUCACUGACAAACACACAUACUCUUUGACAGACACACAUAUAAACACACAUACAUUCUCACUGACAAGCACACAUACAUUCUCACUGACAAGCACACAUACACUCUCUUUGACAGACACACAAACACAUACAAACUCCCUAACAGACACACAUACAAUUUUUUUUUUUUUAUUUUACUCCGCCCAGCCUCCAUACCUUUGGGAGUGCUGGCACGGAGUCUCUAUGUCCCUCUGGUCCAGUGGGGCUGCUGAGCGGCUGGCAUGCGUGCGGUGAGGGAGCAGUGAUCUUCCUGUUCAGUUCCCUCGCGCACCUCUUAGUGAUGCCAGAGUGAUGUCAUAUGCCGGCUCCGGCAUCAUUGCUGUGCGCGCAAGGGAGCUGAGAAGGGGAGAGUGCUUUCUCGCCACCCACGGCCAUAUUGUUUCCCAAAAUUUUGGCGAAACCCCAUUUGUGUUCUUGCGGUACCCCAGGGUUCCGCGGGAACACCAAUUAGGAAACGAUCUUCUAAACCAAUGUACUUAAGAACAUGUGUUUAAAGUUUUUUGCCUUUUGAUUUUCUAUGAAUUUUGAGACCUAUAGGACAUUAUAGUCCAUUUUCAGUGGAGAUCGGCACUUUGGGAAUGAGCAAUAUGGCAGCCGAGAGCGAACUAUGGGUGGAACGCAAAAUGGCCAUCAUUUGAAGCUCAUGCAUCAUCGGCAAGCGCCCAUUGAUCGUGGCUUGCCGAAAGUGAUGACAUGAAAGACCAUAGACCGUGACUGGGAAAUUUGUUUAAGAAAGAUGCCUUACAGCUGCAAAGGAGACUUAACGAUAUUCCAUCAUAGGGAGGGAUUUUCUUUCAUAAGCUGCCGUGCUGCCACAAAGGUGACAUAUUUGGGCAUGUUACUUCAAAAAACCCAAGCAAUCCUGUACAUGAAGUGCAUUGUUGUUCUCGUGGGACACCGCAGGUUUUAUUGCAGUAAAAUAUGUAUUGUAAUAAUCACAAUUAAAAAUGCCAAUAGUGA